rnacentral:rRNA from 1 species
CUACGGGAGGCUGCAGUGGGGAAUAUUGCACAAUGGGCGCAAGCCUGAUGCAGCCAUGCCGCGUGUAUGAAGAAGGCCUUCGGGUUGUAAAGUACUUUCAGCGGGGAGGAAGGGAGUAAAGUUAAUACCUUUGCUCAUUGACGUUACCCGCAGAAGAAGCACCGGCUAACUCCGUGCCAGCAGCCGCGGUGAAUACGGAGGGUGCAAGCGUUAAUCGGAAUUACUGGGCGUAAAGCGCACGCAGGCGGUUUGUUAAGUCAGAUGUGAAAUCCCCGGGCUCAACCUGGGAACUGCAUCUGAUACUGGCAAGCUUGAGUCUCGUAGAGGGGGGUAGAAUUCCAGGUGUAGCGGUGAAAUGCGUAGAGAUCUGGAGGAAUACCGGUGGCGAAGGCGGCCCCCUGGACGAAGACUGACGCUCAGGUGCGAAAGCGUGGGGAGCAAACAGGAUUAGAUACCCCGGUAGUC